rnacentral:tRNA from 1 species
GGUGAGAUGGCUCAGUGGUUAAGAGCACCCGACUGCUCUUCUGAAGGUCCAGAGUUCAAAUCCCAGCAACCACAUCG